rnacentral:rRNA from 1 species
GACGAACGCUGGCGGCGUGCCUAAUACAUGCAAGUUGAGCGAUGAAGAUUGGUGCUUGCACCCAUUUGAAGAGCAGCGAACGGGUGAGUAACGCGUGGGGAAUCUGCCUUUGAGCGGGGGACAACAUUUGGAAACGAAUGCUAAUACCGCAUAACAACUUUAAACAUAAGUUUUAAGUUUGAAAGAUGCAAUUGCAUCACUCAAAGAUGAUCCCGCGUUGUAUUAGCUAGUUGGUGAGGUAAAGGCUCACCAAGGCGAUGAUACAUAGCCGACCUGAGAGGGUGAUCGGCCACAUUGGGACUGAGACACGGCCCAAACUCCUACGGGAGGCAGCAGUAGGGAAUCUUCGGCAAUGGACGAAAGUCUGACCGAGCAACGCCGCGUGAGUGAAGAAGGUUUUCGGAACGUAAAACUCUGUUGGUAGAGAAGAACGUUGGUGAGAGUGGAAAGCUCAUCAAGUGACGGUAACUACCCAGAAAGGGACGGCUAACUACGUG